rnacentral:tRNA from 1 species
GUUUUUAUAGUAAAAAAUAAUACGUUGACUUUUCGAGUCGAAAAUGAGACAUAGUCUUUAAAAACU